UACGGAGGGGGCUAGCGUUGUUCGGAAUUACUAGGCGUAAAGCGUACGUGGGCGGCUUUGUAAGUUAGAGGUGAAAGCCCGGGGCUCAACUCCGGAAUUGCCUUUAAGACUGCAUCGCUUGAAUCAUGGAGAGGUGAGUGGAAUUCCGAGUGUAGAGGUGAAAUUCGUAGAUAUUCGGAAGAACACCAGUGGCGAAGGCGACUCACUGGACAUGUAUUGACGCUGAGGUACGAAAGCGUGGGGAGCAAACAGG
rnacentral:rRNA from 1 species